GGGUGUGUAGCUCAACAGGUAGAGCGGAUUCGUGGGCCUAGCCGUGGAAUCGCGUUGUCAGUUCAACUCUGACCACACCACCA
rnacentral:tRNA from 1 species